rnacentral:rRNA from 1 species
AACGAACGCUGGCGGCAUGCCUAACACAUGCAAGUCGAACGAGAUCUUCGGGUCUAGUGGCGCACGGGUGCGUAACGCGUGGGAAUCUGCCCUUUGGUUCGGAAUAACAGUUGGAAACGACUGCUAAUACCGGAUGAUGACGAAAGUCCAAAGAUUUAUCGCCAGAGGAGUAGCCCGCGUAGGAUUAGCUAGUUGGUGUGGUAAAGGGCCACCAAGUCGACGAACCUUAGCUGGUCUGAAGGAAUGAACAGCCACACUGGGACUGAAACACGGCACAGACUCCAACGGAAGGCAGCCGUGGGGAAUAUUGGACAAUGGGCGAAAGCCUGAUCCAGCAAUGCCGCGUGAGUGAUGAAGGCCUUAGGGUUGUAAAGCUCUUUUACCCGGAAUGAUAAUGACAGUACCGGGAGAAUAAGCUCCGGCUAACUCCGUGCCAGCCGCCGCUGUAA